AUUCUGAUUGUAGAAGCCUGAUCAUAAUAAUUAUUUCUUCCCUUAGCUUCCUCCUGAUAAUUUUGUGCUCCUUGAUACAGCUCAUACUACGGGAAGUUUGUUGUUACUCCUCAGUUACUGAAGGAUGGAGUUGGUUCCAUUGUGCAGGUGGAAGAGAUCAGGAAGCAUGAAAUAGUCUUGCCUUCAAUAUUCCUUAUAUUCAAAAUGCAGCUGCAAAAUGCUGUUUUUUUCAAUAACAAUAACAUUAGUACUAUUAGUAAAUAUUUCUAUUCCUUUUCUUUCCACUGACCCUUGUUGGGAUUGGGGCUUAGCUAUGCUCACACCAUGCAAGUUUCAAAGAGGAAAGGCCUGUCCUGUUGUCUUUGUAACAGACAUAAGGAAAGGGAUGUGGGUGCAUCUCCUGAGCAAAUAAAUAUACAAGAGAAGGGGUCUUACUUUGUUAUGCAUUAAGUAAGUUUCAUUUUGAUCCUUGCUAGCUCCAUUUGAACUAUAGCUUUGUGAGAUGAUGUAGUUUAUGAUAUGGUUUUACAGGAAUAUAAAUUGUCAGCCUUUAACUGCACUCUCAAGAAUAAAGGUGAGAUGGCGUUGGUUUAUCAUUAUUAUCUAAAUGCCUUUCUGAUGGAAGACAAGGAUUCACUUCACAUGCUGCAAAAGUCUGACUGCCCCAACAUGAAAACCAGUUUAAACAGAAAACCAUGUUUGUUUUCUUGUUUAUACUGCACAUAAGAAUGGAAUACUUCUGUACAGAAAUGUACUUCCUGGUGACAGGAUGGCUGAAUAGGCUUUGAUUUCUCAAAGAGAACUGUUUGUCUCAUCAAGCCAGACAAGGUGGGACUCAUGAAUUACAUUUGAAGAGGCACCACUUUGAAGGCAAGGGAGAGAUCACGUGAGAAAACCAGCAUUUAAGGAAAUCUUAAGCAGAGUUUCAAAUUUAUUAAGAAUAAAGACAUUCUUCAGAAAAGGAAUGAGCUUUGAAAGACUCAGAAUGUGCAGCAGUGUGCUGAGAAUAAGGAAAAGAUGUGGUUCCUUCACGGUGUUCUCUGGAGUGGGGAAGCGGAGCACUGGGAGUGUGUUGGGAUCAAAGGAUGGAUGGUAAUUUAUUUUGUGUCCUUUUCUACAGCUACUUUGAUAUCCAGUAUAAGCUGAAAUGAAUAAUGUUCAUUUCUUGAGGAAAAUAUGGUGCAUUUGAAAACCAGUGUUCAAAUGAGCAAUAAUCCAGUCUGGCUUCCUUUGUGUUAUCCAAAGCAGCAGCGUCUUCAGCUUCAGAGAUAAGGGGACUGUUCUGGUCUUGCUCCAUAAUGCAGAUAUCCUCUGACCCAGGCACAUGAAAGACAGCCCUUCUAUAAAACAUAAUGUGGUACUUCUUCAUAGACACAGGGCUGAAAGGUUUGGAAGUAAGGCCAGCGAGCAGUAACCAGGCAAGAAAAAGAUGAAAAAUGCAAAACCAGGAGGUUUGGGGAAUGUGGGCUCUAUUUUUGACUACAGUUCAAACAACAGACUCAUCUGUUUACAUGUUUUCUCCCUUCUAUAACAGUUUUUCACAGACUCCUUUUAUUUUCUUUCCAGAGCUAUCCCCUUGCUAUCCUGCACAUAAUCAGAUCUUAACUUUUGACCCAAGUACUUGAACACGGAGGAGGAUUCUCUGAUCUGGUUCUCGAUUCCAAAUGGGUGAUCAAGACACAAAUACGAGACGGAAAUUACUGGUUUUGCUUUACAAAGACGUUGCAAGUUAAUUUUGUAAGUGAAAGGUCUUCUCUUGGAGUUACCCCAACCAAACUCAAGCAUUCGACAGAUUUGACAUUUCCAUGCUCAGACGAGAUCUGUCUUUUUAAUAUCCAUCUCCCUUUUGAAGUCACUAAACAUGACUUUUUUCAACAACCAUUUCAUCACCUCUGGUUUUAUGCUACCCCUGAAGGUCAAGACAGUGACAAAUGCUCAGGAGUUAACCCGUGCUGAACUGCACAGUGUGUUGCUGGUUUUAGAAGUCCUCAGGGGUGAACUGCUACCAUCAUCCCACAGAGAUGUUUCUGCCUUCUUCUCCAUAGGAAACUAACAGCACUACUAGCAUUUUCUUCUAGUUAAGAGGUAAACAGGCAUCAAAGGCACAUAAAAUACGCUUCCCUUGAGGUACAGACUGUAACUCCUGAGUUUAUUCUCUGUAAUUGUGUAGACCAUAGAAACUUGUGAAAGUUUCACAUGAUGUGCUGUUGUUCUGCUGGUAUGAUUUUCUGACAUUCUUCAGAGAGACGUGGGCAUUCAUUUUUGCCAAAAAUACCCCCAGGAAACACCCAUACUGUCUGCUAUUUAUAAAACUGGCAUUCCUUUUAUAUUUGGCAGGUGUUCAUACACAACCCUGGACAUCAAACAGCUUUUUUAUUCCAGGAAUUUUUGGUGCUUUCUUUAAGAUAGUCCCUUUCGGCUGUGGAAGCAGCACCAGGAUCCUUCUUCUUCAUAUAGGCAGCUUCUAGAAUAAGGUGGGUCUGUAAGUGAGGGUGAAAACCAAACCAAAUCAAACCAAAAAAUCCUGCAACUAUAACAAAACUUUAAAAGUGUACUACUGUGUGCAUGUGUGCGUGCACAUGCAUGUAUCAUGUGCACAUGUGUAUGUUCUGACAGGACCAUGUCAGACUGCCACAGACUGAUGGGGGAUGUAGGUAACAAUACAGUGUCCUUUUGUAAAGCGUGAACACUAGCCCUAUUCUUUACAUGAGUUCUCAGUACUACGCUGCUUUGAUAGAAUGAUGAAUGCUAACAGAAUUCAAAGAAAAGAGAGAAAAGAAUACAGGUUAUUUUCUGAGUGGUUGUUUUGUUUUGCAUUGUUUUUUCAAGUAAUUCAGAUAACGCAAAAUGAUAAUAAUGCAUAGAUGAAACACAUUGAAGAACACUUCUGUUAAAAUCCAAUUUAAAAAUAAAGGCAGUAUGGCCUGUUGAACAAAGCCUCAUAAAGCCAAGAGAAGCCCUUCUUUCAAAUAGAAUAAACAUAAUCUUUAAUUAUUGUCAAAAGAGUUUUAUAAGCUGUUUUACUGUGUUAUAUCGUGAUUUAAGAGGGUGCACUCCUACAUUUUCCUUCUGUAAAAGUGAGAAGUAUUUUGUUAUUUCUUUUACUCUGGAACUACAUCCAGCUGCUCUCAGACUGGUAAAACCCCUGUAUUUCUCUAGAGUCAACAUGGAAAUUAAAUGAAAGAUCAAAUUUAGAAAUAAUGGGAAAAGAGUAUUUGGGUUGAUAGAAACAACAAAGAAAAUGAACAGCUAAGAUCAGUUUCUCUUCAUUAAGUUAAAGCUUUUAGUUAUCAUUAGGUUAAAACUUUGUAACUUGCCUGGCAUUAUGGUAGCUUUUCAGUCAGGAAGUUCUGUAGACAAAGUUCAAUACAAAUUAUUUUUGUCAGUGUAAUUAGGCAUUCAAAUUAUUUAAAAGGAUGGAAUGUGGCUCAGCCCGAGUUAUGAUUUUUCUCACUUUGUUUUUUGGCAAAUGACAAAGGAAUCUAGUCUAGAAAAAUGAGGGGAAGGCAGAAAAUACAGAAGCACAAAAUGCAGUAAACUUAGUUACACUACUGUGUACAACAGUGUUGUGAAGUAAGAAUGUUUUGCAUCAAACUUUUUUCAAUGAGAUUUAGUCGAACCUUCCUAUUGUCAGACUUUUUACAGCCUGAAGCUGUAUGUCUUCAUGGCAUAACAAAACUGUAGUUAGUGAUAUAACCCAUCCAGAGUGUUACCAUUCAUUAUGUGAUAAUCAAUCUUGCUACUGAUGCAACUUUUCUUGGCAAUGACAAAGCCACAGAUCUAUUCCAGGAGAUGUAAUCUAAAAUCAUAUUUCAUAGUCUUGUUUUGAUUGUCAUUUUAGUAUUUAGAAUGACUGAGUGCAACUGACAGAAGUAAACUGUGAUACAUGGAAUUAAUUUCAGUGGACCAGAUGCAUGCCUCAUCUUGUAAUGACAGUGGACAAUUAAAGUCAACAUGGCUGGAGAAGGCACCUGAGAAAAUGAAACUCCAUUAUCUGUCCUUGCUUCAAGCUUGUGAAAUUGCUUUUAGAGGACUUGAAGAAGUAGAAGAAUUUGGAGAGGAAAAUGGGUCAAAAAUGAUGGACAAGCCAUUGUAAUGUAUAAUCCUUACGGAAAACAGCAGUCUUCUGAUACAAAGCAGUGUAAGAGUUAUUACUAUUUCAAGCACAGAUCUGUCCCAUUUGAACUGGAUAUGAAUAUUAUCAUGCCACUUGUGAAUCAUUCUGUGCUUCAGCAUUUCUUAUUUUAUUCUGGCUUGCUUGUGCUAGUUCUUUAUACUGAUCAUUAUAUAUGUGUCCUUUUUUAUAUUUUAUAAUUUUCUUUCAGAUUUUCAGAUCAUUAAAGAGUUCCUGAUGCAA